AGAUAAUUGAUAGAUGAGAGAUAGAUAGAUAAUUGAUAGAUGAGAGAUGGAUAAAUAAUUGAUAGAUGAUAGGUAGUUGAUUAAUAGAUAGAUCCUGCAUUAGAAUGUAAGAUCUACAAACCCAGACCUUUCUUGCUUUAUUCACAGUUGUGUCCUCACUCCCAGAAGAGUAUUUUUCACAGAGCAGUGCUAAUAAACAAUUGUUUUUAAGAUUUAGUAGUAAACUGAACCAGGGAGUUUCAAUUCUGUUCCUGAAAGAAAAUUCUUCCUCCCAAGUCCAUGCUAUCAACACAAGAAGCCUGUGAAGUCUUAGAGUUGGGAGGGAGGGCAGCAUCGAGGACCACAAAGCUGACAUUUACCCACUUGUUAGCUAAUCAUGAUCCUAUGGGUGGAAAGUCAAGGAUCUCCUCAGCUUCUGGGAAAUGCAAAGCCUUCUCCGACAGAGGUUCCAACUUUGCUGUGGUGAUCCCGUUUCAUGGAAGCAUCUUCUACGUCAUUUCAGCCUUUGUCCAGCUUCACUGUGAGGGACCGCAUAACAACAAUUGUAUACACAGUUCUGUCCUCCCUGCUAAGCCUUUUAUCUAUAGUCUGAGAAACAAAGACGUGAAUAGAAGCAUGCGGAAGCUGAUGAGCGGAGAAAAUCCUAGUCAGGACCUCUGUGACCAUGUUCAUGAGCAUCUCUGCUCCUCUGGACCCCAUUUCUGCUGGUUCCUGAUACAAUAAACCCUGUAAGUCAGCAGAUACAACUCAUGUGUCAUGGAUGUUGGGUUGUAUCCAUUCAUUUAUUUUCAUGUAACUGUCCCAUUGAGACUUUAUUGUGAUUUACUAAUUGGCUCAAGGUUUACCAAAAUCUUGACUUCCAGUUUUCAUGUAUCUGCCUCUCUCUUCCCAUCUUCCUCUUCUCCAGGAAACCACAUCUUUUUCAUUCCCUCUAAGAGCUGUUGAAACCUUUGUUUUCCACAAUAUUUCAUGGAACUAAUUUAUAUCUGUUCAAUGACUUUUGAUUCUCUUAAUAUCCUUCUUAUUUUAAUGAACUUCUGUAGUCAGCUUUCCUAGUUUUUGAAAGCCAUUGCAGAAACUUAGGAAGACAGACACAGAGACAGAGAGGUUGAGUGAGGUCCGAAUUUGCAUUCCAAUAAGUCCCUAUGUGAUGCUGACAUAAUGAUUUAGAAACAAUACUCUGAGAAUCACUAGUCUAUCAUAUAUUAAGACCUACUAUAGACCUAUGGUAAUUAGGACUAUAUGAGUAUUGGUGAAGAACUAGACAAACAAGACAAAUGCGACAAGACAGAGAACGCGGAAGCAUAUCCACAUGCUGGCAUACACUUGAGUACAAAUGAGGCACUAGAGAACAUCUUUUAAAAAAUGGAGCUAAGACAGUUGGGAAUCCACAUGGAAAAAUGAAAUUGGGCCCCUACCAUAAACCAUAUGCAAAUAUUAACUCCUGAUGAAUUAUAAACUUACAUAUGAAAACCAAAAACUAUUAAUUUUUUAGAAAAUAAUGUAGGAGAAUAUCUUUGUCUCCUUGAAGUAAGAAAAUAUUUCUCAAACAAGACACAGAGAGAAGGCACUAACCAUAAAAGAAAAGAAUAGCAAUUGGACUAUGUCAAAAUUAAAUACUUCCUUUCUGUUUAUCAAAAGAUAUUGUAGAGGAAAAAGACAAAUAACAGAAUGUUAAAACGUGUUUGAAAUUUAUAAAACAAAGGAAAGAAAUACACUCACU
rnacentral:lncRNA from 1 species